rnacentral:ncRNA from 2 species
UGUUAGUAAAAUCUCCGAGUCUGGCAGGCCUUGUUAAAAACAUGUGCGGCCAGGCCGAUAGGGUACAUGGGGAAACCCCUGCGCCUCCCAUUGUGGAAAGGAGAACAUAGCUUUUUUUA